rnacentral:lncRNA from 1 species
UUGCAGGCAGGAACCCCAUCUGCUUGACUUUACUUUGGAAUCUCCGCAGCCUCAUACGGGGCUGAGGCAGGUCCUUCCGUAAAAUGGAACUGAAUGAGCGGCGCCAUUCAGUUAAUCCAUCCGCCAAAGGCCAGUCUCCCUUGGGUUUUCAACAGUCGUUCCUCACCUCGUGCAGCAUUGCAGUGAGUGGGCGACAAGGAACCUCGUGGUCUCCGUGUGCUUUGCGGGGACCACCUCUUCGCAGGGGCCGCCACCUGCCUCUCCGGCGCUGCAUCCUCAGCAUCCCCACUGCCCCCGGAUCUCCUUCAGGGAGGUGCUGCGGAAGAGCGGCCCCAGCAGCCUCCUCCUGUGGCCCAGGCGCACCAAGGCGAGCGCGGCCAUGAGUUCCGGC